rnacentral:rRNA from 1 species
UACGGGGGGAGCAAGCGUUGUUCGGAUUUACUGGGCGUAAAGGGCGCGUAGGCGGCGUGGCAAGUCACUUGUGAAAUCUCCGGGCUUAACUCGGAACGGUCAAGUGAUACUGCUGUGCUAGAGUGCGGAAGGGGCAACUGGAAUUCUUGGUGUAGCGGUGAAAUGCGUAGAUAUCAAGAGGAACACCUGCGGCGAAGGCGGGUUGCUGGGCUGACACUGACGCUGAAGCGCGAAAGCUAGGGGAGCGAACGGG